GUGGAACCCAGCAACUAGUGUUCAGCUCGAUUAGGAUGAACUCGGGCACUUAGCCGUGCAGGAACAAUGCCUAUUAUCUUGAAUCAUUUUAGAAAUAUAAUAAAUGAUUGCCUAGUGAAAAAAAAAACUGAACAGAUGACUGAAAUCUCCAAGGAAGCAUGUAUAGACUUUCAUGAGAAGAAAACUGAAAAUUGAUUUUUGGUGGAGAGCCCCUCAGUUUUCCCAUUGAUGAGAACAAGCCAGACAGCGGACAAAGAAAGAUAUGGUGACUUGAAAGUAGGGAUGACUAAUGAAGUUCAGACCGGAAGCCCUGUGAGGAGAUAGGAUGGCUGGGAUAAGACAGCUAAAAUGUGUUUCUGAAAAGCCACCAAGAAGCCAUGACUGAUUCACUGGAGCCAUUCAUCCACCAAUUUCCAGUUGUGAGAAAAGAUAUUUAGAAGAUCAUAAACAGGCUACAUCUGGAAGUGGCUCACCACCAAGAACCACCUUUUCCCAUGGGACUGAGAUAACACUGCUUGUCCACUCUUUCCCAUGACUCCCAUAAGACAUGGAUGACCCCCUGGUUGAUGAUGAGGCCAAACACAGACCUUCCUUUUUCCUGUACCAGCUGAAAAGGUCAGACACAGACCCUCCACUUUGUUGUUCUUUAUCUCAUAAAUGAUUAGCUUAAGACUAGAACUGUCCCUACCCCUGAAACUGGCUAGACACAGAGAUAAACAUUUCCUGUUCAGCUAAGUGACUGGGACUCCACCUAAUUGUACAAUAGCCCCAGCUGUAAAUCAUGCUGUGUUCCUCCCUGUGACAGUCCAGGGCAAAACCACUGUGCUAAGACAUUCUGAUUUGCAGACCUAGUGUGCUUUCCUUAUUGUAAUAGCCUGAAUAAAAUCAAUUUCCUUACUG